UACGUAGGGUGCGAGCGUUGUCCGGAAUUACUGGGCGUAAAGAGCUCGUAGGUGGUUUGUCGCGUUGUCCGUGAAAUUCCCUGGCUUAACUGGGGCGUGCGGGCGAUACGGGCAGACUGGAGUACUGCAGGGGAGACUGGAAUUCCGUGGUGAUAGCGGUGGAAUGCGCAGAUAUCAGGAGGAACACCGGUGGCGAAGGCGGGUC
rnacentral:rRNA from 1 species